CACUUUUUCACUCUAAAAGUCUUUGCCAAACUCCUUCAUGCAGAUUCAUAUGGAAGAAUUUCCAUCAUGCAGUUCUUUAACUAUGUCAUGCGAAAAGUCUGGCUUCAUCAAACAAGAAUAGGACUCAGUUUAUAUGAUGUUGCUGGGCAAGGGUACCUACGGGAAUCUGAUUUAGAAAACUAUAUACUGGAAAUAAUUCCUACUUUGCCACAACUAGAUGGGUUGGAAAAA